rnacentral:rRNA from 1 species
UUGGAGGGCAAGUCUGGUGCCAGCAGCCGCGGUAAUUCCAGCUCCAAUAGCGUAUAUUAAAGUUGUUGCAGUUAAAAAGCUCGUAGUUGAACUUCGGGGUCUACCCAUUGGUCAGGCUUAAUUGUCUGCACUGGUGAGAUGGAUCUCUACCUUCUGAGGAGCUUUCAUGCCAUUUAUUUGGUGUGAUGGGAAAUCAGGACUGUUACUUUGAAAAAAUUAGAGUGUUUAAAGCAGACUAUCGUCUGAAUACAUUAGCAUGGAAUAAUGAAAUAGGACGGACUGAUUCUAUUUCGUUGGUUUCUAGGAUCACCGUAAUGAUUAAUAGGGAUAGUUGGGGGCAUUAGUAUUCAAUUGUCAGAGGUGAAAUUCUUGGAUUUAUUGAAGACUAACCACUGCGAAAGCAUUUGCCAAGGAUGUUUUCAUUAAUCAAGAACGAAAGUUAGGGGAUCGAAGACGAUCAGAUACCGUCGUGGUCUUAACCAUAAACUAUGCCGACUAGGGAUCGGACGAAGUUAAUUUUAUAAUGACGCGUUCGGCACCUUACGGGAAACCAAAGUGUUUGGGUUC